rnacentral:tRNA from 1 species
GCCUGGUUGGCUCAGUUGUGGAACAUGUGACUCUUGAUCUCAGGGUUGUGGGUUCAAGCCCCAUGUUGGGUG